AACGAACGCUGGCGGCAGGCCUAACACAUGCAAGUCAAACGCCGUAGCAAUACGGAGUGGCAGACGGGUGAGUAACGCGUGGGAACCUUCCCAGUGGUACGGAAUAGCUCAGGGAAACCUGGGGUAAUACCGUAUACGCCCUUCGGGGGAAAGAUUUAUCGCCAGUGGAUGGGCCCGCGUCGGAUUAGCUAGUUGGUGGGGUAAUGGCCUACCAAGGCGACGAUCCGUAGCUGGUCUGAGAGGAUGAUCAGCCACACUGGGACUGAGACACGGUCCAGACUCCUACGGGAGGCAGCAGUGGGGAAUAUUGGACAAUGGGCGCAAGCCUGAUCCAGCCAUGCCGCGUGAGUGACGAAGGCCUUAGGGUUGUAAAGCUCUUUUGGCGGGGAAGAUAAUGACGGUACCCGCAGAAUAAGUCCCGGCUAACUUCGUGCCAGCCGCCGCCGUAACAC
rnacentral:rRNA from 1 species